rnacentral:rRNA from 1 species
CCUACGGGUGGUUGCAGUGGGGAAUAUUGGACAAUGGGCGAAAGCCUGAUCCAGCCAUGCCGCGUGUGUGAAGAAGGCCUUCGGGUUGUAAAGCACUUUCAGUGGGGAAGAAAGCCUUGGGGCUAAUACCCUCGAGGAAGGACAUCACCCACAGAAGAAGCACCGGCUAACUCCGUGCCAGCAGCCGCGGUAAUACGGAGGGUGCGAGCGUUAAUCGGAAUUACUGGGCGUAAAGCGCGCGUAGGCGGUCUGAUAAGCCGGUUGUGAAAGCCCCGGGCUCAACCUGGGAACGGCAUCCGGAACUGUCAGGCUAGAGUGCAGGAGAGGAAGGUAGAAUUCCCGGUGUAGCGGUGAAAUGCGUAGAGAUCGGGAGGAAUACCAGUGGCGAAGGCGGCCUUCUGGACUGACACUGACGCUGAGGUGCGAAAGCGUGGGUAGCAAACAGGAUUAGAUACCCCUGUAGUC